UCCACCUGACGCCGCCCAUCGUCUCCUCCCCACCCCCUCACGCAUCCCUUCUCCUCCUCACCAUCGGGCCUGAGCAGGAGAACGAGCACCCUCCCUCGCAACCGCCUCAACGGGAGAAGAGCUCGAUCCCGGGUGUUUAGGCGUGUUGGUGAGCGCGGCGGCUGCCAUGGCUGAGCUCGAGCCCGGGCGCGGCGGAGCUUUGUUGAGCACGGUGGCGACCAGGCCAUGGCCGAGCUCGAGCUCGAGCGUCUCGUUCUCCCAUGGCUCCUGCGCGUGCCGCCCCUGGGUUCUGAAAAGCAACUGUUUGUUCCCUUCGUCGAGUCUUCGACCGUCCUGCGAACUGUUGCGUCGAGAUGUUGCAAGGCUUAUGGACUCUGUUGUUGGUUGGUCUGUGUUGUUGUUUUUUAUCGUCUUCAGGCAAGCCAUGUUCUUUCCUCCGAGAGAGAAAAGCCAAGCAAGAUUGGGCCCCAAGUUAUGAUCUUCAUCGCGUUAUGGUCACGCUCGGAGCUCUGCCGCCUCCAGAUCCACCCCGUCGAGAUUCCAGGUUCACCCUCCCCGCCAGCAAGCCUGCCAGAUCUUGAUUGGCUUUUCUCUCUCGGUCUGUUCGGUUCUGAGCUUUGCAUCCUGCUGCGUCUCUUCGUCACCUAGGGCAUCCUCUCGAGCUUCCUCGAGUUGGAUUUGCAGACCAAGGACACACAUUCUGGAGAGCUCCUUGGUCAUCAGCUGGUCCAUCACAUGAGAGUGGAUGUUUCAGAAUGGUGCGGGCAGGUUGAGCAGCAAUAGAUGUUUUUUAAGUUCUAGAUUGUUACUACCGAGAAUGGAAUUGGAGAAGAGAUACUUUUGGUGUUGUCCUUUUACCUCACGUAUCUGACAGACGACAGAAAACUAUCAGUUUAGUUGGCAAAACAAAAAAGUUCAGAUCAGUUGUGAGGAUAUAUGAUGAUUGGCAUACUUAGGCCAGAGUCUUGUAAUAACAUCUGCGACGUAGCGUCCCCUGUUAAAAAAGUCUAAAAGGUAAGUUAUGCCUUCUCUCUCGCUAAUCGAUUUUCUCUUGGCUUUUCUUUCUUUGCAGAUGAUCAUCUUUUGUGUAUUUUCACUAUUUAUUCUUGUAUCUAUAUAUGUUAAGCAAAUUGUUUCCUUUAUGACCAUGAUUCUAUAUGAUUACUAAGGUCUCUAACCUUCUCUUCUUUUCUAAUUAGAACAGGAUACUAAUCUGAUGUAUCUCCUAUUUGCGAUGACUAUUAAAUUAUGGAGUUUCUGUGUUGUCUACUGAAGCAGUCAAGCAUGCAAUCUGAGCAGAAUAUCAUUAAAAGGUCAUUGACCCAACAAAUUGAACUUAAUCUGAACCUCCCCUGUUCCUGCUAUAUAUCCUUAUUUUUCUGAACUUAACAACAGAACAACAUGAUAUAUUAGAUCACCAGAGCUUAAGUGUAAAAUUAUUCCUUACUGGUUGAGGAUUUGGAGAUGCAGUAUGUGGUUGGCGAAGGAUUUUUGUCUCCUAAGCUCCACACAUUCUCUUCCAUCUAAAACAAUCGACGCAGUCAAGUGGUGUAGUGGUUGAUGGUCGAGAGCUAAAAUCAAGGCACCAUCUUGUUUUAGGAUUUGUGUAUAUCUUUAGAUCCCCCGUUACGAUCACAAUUAUUUGCCUGAGCUCUGGUGAUUACUCCCAAGGAUUACUCUACCAAAUAACAUUACCGAGGUAUCACUGUGUGCCUGGCUGGCUAUUCAUGUGUAGUACAGCAGUUUGUGGCCUUCUCUGUUCUGUCAAAUGCCAGUACUGUUCUGUCAAAUGCCAGUACUUGCUUUGUGACCCUUGAUGUAAUGUCUGUCAACUUCCAAAGUGUCACGUAACUAUGUAUCUGUAUCUUGGAUAUCGACAUGUCGUAAACCUGUAGCCCUUUGAAACAGGACCUGUUGUCUAUUGGUAUUACUGGUAUAAAAGAGAAAUUUUGUUUGUGCUGAUGCAAGAGGGCAGCAACCUUGACGCGGCGAUCACGUCGCUCCUUAGCGUGGAGAAGUAGUGCCACCUGGCCGGCAGCAGGAAGUCUGCCGAUCGUCGAGAUCUGCUUCAAGACGGCGCCUGGAAGAAGCUCAAUGACCAGAUCAUCGUCCUCUCCAAGUGGAGGGGCCAGUUCAAGCAGGUGGGAGAGCUUGCUGUUUGUCUUGUUGCUUAGUGUGUCCAUGAGCGUGCUCCCACCGUGUGCGCGCCCAGCCGUCCAUGAGGUCAAGCGACCACUUGUAUUUGUGGAUGAGGAACACCCCGGUGUUGAGGCCAACCCGGGACCUCAGUGACACGCGUCAGCGUCGAGACACCAGACCCACUCGACCUCCGGGUGGGCAAGCAUGGUGGUGUGAACGCGGCAAGGAUCUUGGCCCAAUAUGCCACCAUGGUGGGAUGCAUCAGCCGUGUUGUAUAAGAGCUCGAUCCUGUGGAGGCGGCUAUAGCCCAUAGUCGAGAGUUUUGUUGAGGAAGUGUAGGAGCACGUUGCUGCUUGCCGCUUUGUUGGUUCAUAGGUGGGACUGCGAUCCUGCUCGACACCAUGAGCAUGCAGUCCCCAAGAUCACACCAAGUACCGAGCCUAAGGAGAAAACACCCGGGCAGAUGUCUGUGAAGCGUUGUACACCGUCCUGCUCAUGCCGCUGGAGGGACAGAGAGGAGGACUUGGCCACGAGGUGCUGGAGCAAUGGAAGGACCCGUCGCCGCUAGCGGCGGUGGUGUGGUCCACGUUGGCCUCCGGCCGCAACGGCGGCGUGGACAAAGCGAGUGUAGCCGCGAGAUCGGAGAGGUCGGCGCGCUAGCAGGUGCGGAGACGUCGACACGAGGUGGUCGGGGAGGACCAAACGACGAGCGAAAGGCCCGGGGCGUGCAUGCAGAAACUUCAUUUCUCUGCCUUUUUGUAGAAUGCUGCCAAUAAUGUUUUUAUUUUGAAUUUUUAUCAUGCGAGACAAGUUCUUCCUUUUGUUCAUACUAGCAAAAAAGCCCGUGCG
rnacentral:rRNA from 1 species